rnacentral:misc_RNA from 1 species
CUCCAGAGCUCUCUCACCGCAGAUACGGAGCACGCCGGACACAGAGAGUCAGUAUUUGGCGGAGUUGUUGGCGGAGCAUCAAAAGCUUGGGCCUUUCGUGCAGGUUCUGCCCAUUUGUAGUCUCCUCCUGAGUCAAGAGAUCAGACGAGUCUCUGGCCUAGCCUCCAACCAAGGAUUUGGGGACUAUGACAGAUUGCAUCACAGGAGUCCGAGUCCCAUGGCUUCUCCACACCUUGUCUCAAGCAUCGGCGGAACAGGGCUAGGUGGUUGGAGUGGAAUCCAACAGGAG